CUCUCAUUUUCAUCAGCUGCAUAAUCAUAGGCAUGGGCAGAGACAUGUUUCCCCAGCCUCUUCAGCAAUAAUACACUCUCUCCACAUGGAAAUACCAUGCCUUUCUAUAUAUACUUAGAUUUUCUUCCCGUUUUCCUCCCCAAGGCUAGGAAGUUGUUAUAUGUCGGCCAAAUAAAUAAUGAAAUCAUCCUCCAUCAUUUUCUUAUGUCUCCUUAUGACUAUUUUCUCCCACAUCUUCCCAACUAUCAGUACCCCCUCUCCCUCCCCUUCCCUCAUUUUACUCCAACGAAGGCUGCCCAUGAGAAAACUGAGCAUGUUACUGCCCUACGACAAGCACAAAUACCACAAAAUACAGGAUGGUGAAGAGAUGAAAGGAUCAACUAUCGAAGAAGGUUCAGUGGCAUUUAAAAGUACAAGCAGCAGGGACAAUUCAGAUGAGAUUGUCUACCACAUUGAUUAUCAUGGGGUGACAACACAUCCAACUCCAACUCCAAAACAACCCAAAUCAUAGAGAGCUUAUUCGCUUUUAUGAGGAAAUGUAAUUAUCUACUGUGUUUAAAGAUAUAAAAGGAAAGUAAAGAGAGAGAUGCUAUUUCUAAACGAUAAGAGGCUUGUGCAAAAUGUUUAACAGUUUGAGAAAGUAUUUUUUUCCUUUUAAAUGAUAGUAAGAGCUCAAUUAUCAGGAUGAAUUUUGCACACAUGUCGAAUGAGUUUGUCCUAAAGUGCAUGAAACAUAAGAACUUUCAAUAGAAGAAACGUUCCAAUACAACACUCAAAUUUUAGUAUGAUGUCCCACUAACAUAAAUCAUAUGUUAAGAAGGAAAGCACCUUGUUUUACAUCAACAGAUGCACUUGGGACAUUGCUGGAUGCCCUUUGGAUUUAUUCACAACUUCACACAAGAAAUGCAGCAAAAUCUCACCACGCCAAAUGCAAUUUUAUUUAUUACCUGGAGAGAGAGAGAGAGAGAGAGAGAGAGAGAGAGAGAGAGAGAGAGAGAGAGAGAGAGAGCAAA